GCGAACAGCAUAUUUUUUGAGCCCUCAAUUUUUAUCCUGAAAUGGAGAGGAGUGGGAUACUUCCCAGUUUUAUUGAUAUAUUCUAUUUACAAUAUGUUCACACAUCUACAAUGGUGGUCCCACCUAACGAGACUGGGCUUUUGGAGCCUUCAAUUGAAGAGCCAGAGAACACGAAACAAGAAAAGGCAUGGUGUGAAUUUUGCACCGCAGAACACGGUAUCAUCAUGAAUAACCACUACAUCAUUCAUCGCAUAGACAAACAGUUCUUCAUCACCAUAACUCACUCUGGAAAUAAAUGAAAGCCG
rnacentral:lncRNA from 1 species